rnacentral:rRNA from 1 species
AAUCCAUAGGUUAAUGAGGCGAACCGGGGGAACUGAAACAUCUAAGUACCCCGAGGAAAAGAAAUCAACCGAGAUUCCCCCAGUAGCGGCGAGCGAACGGGGAGGAGCCCAGAGCCUGAAUCAGCAUGUGUGUUAGUGGAAGCGUCUGGAAAGGCGCGCGAUACAGGGUGACAGCCCCGUACACAAAAGCGCAUGUGCUGUGAGCUCGAUGAGUAGGGCGGGACACGUGGUAUCCUGUCUGAAUAUGGGGGGACCAUCCUCCAAGGCUAAAUACUCCUGACUGACCGAUAGUGAACCAGUACCGUGAGGGAAAGGCGAAAAGAACCCCGGCGAGGGGAGUGAAAAAGAACCUGAAACCGUGUACGUACAAGCAGUGGGAGCACCCUUUGGGUGUGACUGCGUACCUUUUGUAUAAUGGGUCAGCGACUUAUAUUCUGUAGCAAGGUUAACCGAAUAGGGGAGCCGGAGGGAAACCGAGUCUUAAUUGGGCGUUAAGUUGCAGGGUAUAGACCCGAAACCCGGUGAUCUAGCCAUGGGCAGGUUGAAGGGUGGGUAACACUAACUGGAGGACCGAACCGACUAAUGUUGAAAAAUUAGCGGAUGACCUGUGGCUGGGGGUGAAAGGCCAAUCAAACCGGGAGAUAGCUGGUUCUCCCCGAAAGCUAUUUAGGUAGCGCCUCGUGAAUUCAUCUCCGGGGGUAGAGCACUGUUUCGGCUAGGGGGCCAUCCCGGCUUACCAACCCGAUGCAAACUGCGAAUACCGGAGAAUGUUAUCACGGGAGACACACGGCGGGUGCUAACGUCCGUCGUGAAGAGGGAAACAACCCAGACCGCCAGCUAAGGUCCCAAAGUCAUGGUUAAGUGGGAAACGAUGUGGGAAGGCCCAGACAGCCAGGAUGUUGGCUUAGAAGCAGCCAUCAUUUAAAGAAAGCGUAAUAGCUCACUGGUCGAGUCGGCCUGCGCGGAAGAUGUAACGGGGCUAAACCAUGCACCGAAGCUGCGGCAGCGACACUGUGUGUUGUUGGGUAGGGGAGCGUUCUGUAAGCCUGUGAAGGUGUGUCGUGAGGCAUGCUGGAGGUAUCAGAAGUGCGAAUGCUGACAUAAGUAACGAUAAAGCGGGUGAAAAGCCCGCUCGCCGGAAGACCAAGGGUUCCUGUCCAACGUUAAUCGGGGCAGGGUGAGUCGACCCCUAAGGCGAGGCCGAAAGGCGUAGUCGAUGGGAAACGGGUUAAUAUUCCCGUACUUGGUGUUACUGCGAAGGGGGGACGGAGAAGGCUAUGUUGGCCGGGCGACGGUUGUCCCGGUUUAAGUGUGUAGGUGUGUGUUCCAGGUAAAUCCGGUUCACUUUAACACUGAGGCGUGACGACGAGGCACUACGGUGCUGAAGCAACAAAUGCCCUGCUUCCAGGAAAAGCCUCUAAGCAUCAGGUAACAUCAAAUCGUACCCCAAACCGACACAGGUGGUCAGGUAGAGAAUACCAAGGCGCUUGAGAGAACUCGGGUGAAGGAACUAGGCAAAAUGGUGCCGUAACUUCGGGAGAAGGCACGCUGACACGUAGGUGAAGUGAUUUACUCAUGGAGCUGAAGUCAGUCGAAGAUACCAGCUGGCUGCAACUGUUUAUUAAAAACACAGCACUGUGCAAACACGAAAGUGGACGUAUACGGUGUGACGCCUGCCCGGUGCCGGAAGGUUAAUUGAUGGGGUCAGCGCAAGCGAAGCUCCUGAUCGAAGCCCCGGUAAACGGCGGCCGUAACUAUAACGGUCCUAAGGUAGCGAAAUUCCUUGUCGGGUAAGUUCCGACCUGCACGAAUGGCGUAAUGAUGGCCAGGCUGUCUCCACCCGAGACUCAGUGAAAUUGAACUCGCUGUGAAGAUGCAGUGUACCCGCGGCAAGACGGAAAGACCCCGUGAACCUUUACUAUAGCUUGACACUGAACAUUGAGCCUUGAUGUGUAGGAUAGGUGGGAGGCUUUGAAGUGUGGACGCCAGUCUGCAUGGAGCCGACCUUGAAAUACCACCCUUUAAUGUUUGAUGUUCUAACGUGGACCCGUUACCCGGGUUGCGGACAGUGUCUGGUGGGUAGUUUGACUGGGGCGGUCUCCUCCUAAAGAGUAACGGAGGAGCACGAAGGUUGGCUAAUCCUGGUCGGACAUCAGGAGGUUAGUGCAAUGGCAUAAGCCAGCUUGACUGCGAGCGUGACGGCGCGAGCAGGUGCGAAAGCAGGUCAUAGUGAUCCGGUGGUUCUGAAUGGAAGGGCCAUCGCUCAACGGAUAAAAGGUACUCCGGGGAUAACAGGCUGAUACCGCCCAAGAGUUCAUAUCGACGGCGGUGUUUGGCACCUCGAUGUCGGCUCAUCACAUCCUGGGGCUGAAGUAGGUCCCAAGGGUAUGGCUGUUCGCCAUUUAAAGUGGUACGCGAGCUGGGUUUAGAACGUCGUGAGACAGUUCGGUCCCUAUCUGCCGUGGGCGCUGGAGAACUGAGGGGGGCUGCUCCUAGUACGAGAGGACCGGAGUGGACGCAUCACUGGUGUUCGGGUUGUCAUGCCAAUGGCACUGCCCGGUAGCUAAAUGCGGAAGAGAUAAGUGCUGAAAGCAUCUAAGCACGAAACUUGCCCCGAG